ACCACAAGAUGUGACACUCUUCAGAUAAAUUGACCUAAUGACAAUUAGGUCAAUCUAAUGUCAUUAGGUCAAUUUAUCUGAAGAGUGUCGCAUCUUGUGGUAC